CGGCGGCAAGUGCGACCUGCCGGCGCCGCGUGGCGAAGGCCGGGCGGGAGCGGCCCUGGCGCCGCGCCGCUCGCUGCCUGAGAGGUUUGAAAUUAUUUCAGAAUAAAAGAAAGUUUUAAAAAUCCUUUCUAGAUGCUCGUUACCUACAGGAUCAAGUGCAAACCACUAUCCCAAAGAACGUCCAAAGAACUCACCGAAAGGAGGGAGUCCAAGAAUCUGAAAGGGGAUUUGCCAGGGAA